rfam:Nomascus leucogenys chromosome 12, whole genome shotgun sequence.
AUCCUUUUGUAGUUCGUGAGCGUGAUCAUUGGGUGUUUACGCACACGUGAGAUGUGCCAUCCUUGAACCUUGUUAUGGUGUCAGCACAUUACCCAUCUGACG